AAGAAUUUAAGUUAAAAAAACUAUUGACCUUCAAAGUCAAAAUUAGAUUUAAUCUAAUUCUUA
rnacentral:tRNA from 1 species